UGCCAGAAACAACAGGAAUCCAACAAUGGUUUAUCUUCCUAAACUUCAGCAAGUAAAACAAACAACAUAGAGAAAACAAUAAAGCACGAUUUUGAUAGUACCAGAGGAGAAGCAUAGGGAAGACAAUACAGAGAAAACUCUAAUGCACGACUUUCAGUGACUGGAUCCAGACUGCCUCUUUCUAUGAUGAGUAUGCAUAGAAAAAUAGUCAUGGAACAAACCAUACAACUAGAUGCAUCUAGAUGCCAUUAGAAUUAUCAGAUAACAUUUUUGCGAUGCCUAUACAAAUUAAAAGUGGAGAAGAUCUUAGGUUGCUAUGAUAAGCUCUCCUGCAAAAUUCAAAGUUUGAGGUGAGUGCAGAAGAGUAGAAUCUGAUAUCUAUAUUCUUUCCCUUUUAAAUUUCAUCCGGAAAGCUGAGAACAUGCC
rnacentral:lncRNA from 1 species